GUUAUCUACAUCCUGUGUCAAUAAUGGUUGCGCAUCACUCAUUUCUUCAAACGUAUGUGUAAAUAACUCCUCUGACAUACCAAGUGAAGCGGCUGUGGUGCUAGUGUUGGUGGUGGUGGCAGGCGGGUGAGUGGUAUCUUGAGAGGUGCCCGAAGCUAAGCUGGAGGAGGAUGUUGCGCCAAGGUUCCGAGCGGAAGCUGUAGAAGAUUGGGUGUCCUGUG
rnacentral:lncRNA from 1 species